rnacentral:rRNA from 1 species
UACGAAGGGGGCUAGCGUUGCUCGGAAUUACUGGGCGUAAAGGGCGCGUAGGCGGACAGUUUAGUCAGAGGUGAAAGCCCAGGGCUCAACCUUGGAACUGCCUUUGGUACUGACUGUCUUGAGUUCGGGAGAGGUGAGUGGAAUGCCGAGUGUAGAGGUGAAAUUCGUAGAUAUUCGGCGGAACACCAGUGGCGAAGGCGACUCACUGGCCCGAUACUGACGCUGAGGCGCGAAAGCGUGGGGAGCAAACAGG